rnacentral:rRNA from 1 species
CCUACGGGAGACUGCAGUGAGGAAUAUUGGUCAAUGGACGAGAGUCUGAACCAGCCAAGUAGCGUGAAGGAUGACUGCCCUAGGGGUUGUAAACUUCUUUUAUAUGGGAAUAAAACGUUCCACGUGUGGGAUUUUGUAUGUACCAUAUGAAUAAGGAUCGGCUAACUCCGUGCCAGCAGCCGCGGUAAUACGGAGGAUCCGAGCGUUAUCCGGAUUUAUUGGGUUUAAAGGGAGCGUAGGUGGAUUGUUAAGUCAGUUGUGAAAGUUUGCGGCUCAACCGUAAAAUUGCAGUUGAAACUGGCAGUCUUGAGUACAGGAGAGGUAGGCGGAAUUCGUGGUGUAGCGGUGAAAUGCUUAGAUAUCACGAAGAACUCCGAUUGCGAAGGCAGUUCACUGGACUGCAACUGACACUGAGGCUCGAAAGUGUGGGUAUCAAACAGGAUUAGAUACCCCUGUAGUC